AUGCCAUGUCCGAUUGGAUUCAGCAUGGUUGAGCUCGUCCAAAACUAUGAUGUGCUGGAGAAGUGUACAAAAGAUAUUCUCUCCAUAAUCAAGCCAACAGAGGCCGAUCAGAACAAACGACUGCACGCAAUUCAGGAGAUUGUGGAUUCCAUCUAUUUAGUUGGUCGCUUGGGAGAUGCUGCUGUCAAACCUUUUGGAUCCUUUUUAUCAAAACUUUACGCAAAAUCAGGUGAUUUGGAUGUAUCAGUUGAGCUGCCAAAUGUCUUAGGCUUCCCUACAAGCAAGGAAAAGAAGCAAAGUCUCUUGGGAGAACUAAUGAGAGCUUUAGAAGUUAGAGGUGUUUCUAGAGAUGUGAACUUCAUUCCUACUGCAAGAGUUCCAGUUCUUCAGUAUGUGAGCAACCACUUUGGUGUUUCCUGUGAUAUAUCCAUUGAUAACUACCCUGGUGGACUUAAAUCCAAAGUGCUGUACUGGAUCAAUACUUUAGAUGGCCGCUUUGGCGAUAUGGUUUUAUUGGUCAAGGAAUGGGCAAAAGCUCAAAACAUCAACGAUCCAAAAGAUGGAACCCUCAACUCCUAUUCGCUUUGCUUACUUGUACUCUUUCAUUUUCAGACAUGUAAGCCUGCGAUUUUACCACCUAUGAAUGAGUUUUUAGAUGUGAACAUUUCAGCAGAAAGUGGGCCUUAUAAUGAAAAAAAUCUUGAUGAGAUGUGUGCGGAAAGUAUAGCAAAGUUUCGACGCCGGGACAUAGGGCAAAGGAAUCAGAGCUCUCUGUCUCAUCUCCUUGCAACUUUCUUUGAGAAGUUUUGCCGUCUAGGUGUCCAUUCUAGUGAUCAUGUUAUAUCCACUUACAUGGGCCGGCUCCAGCGAAAACAAGGCGGCCUAUAUUGGAUGACCAAAUCUUGCUACUUGUUUGUUGAAGAUCCAUUUCAGAGACUUGAUAAUGCAGCUAGAACAGUUGAUGUGCUAGGGCUUCAUGAUAUUGCCACAGCCUUAAAAAAUGCUAAAAAUAUUGUCUCCUCUGAUGGGCCUGUUGACCGGAAUGAAUUCCUUUCGCUGCUGUGUACGCCUGAAGUUGGUUCUAAACUGGGUGCAAGAGCCACGGCUGGCCGUUACGCUACUCCUGCGACGACCCUUCAGGAGGACAGAUUCAGAGGAUUUCUGGAACGUUUGGCAGCUAACCCUUUCGAUAAUCAGCAUCGCCUUAGAGCCCAAGGAUCAACAGGAAGCAGAUCAAUUCAUAGCCCACAGCCACAGGGGUACAAUUCAGGCAGGCAGGCAGCUGCUCGACGCCAGAGCCAGCAGCGCAGAGGGGAGUACACUUCAGAUCGUCAAGCUAGUGGUCAUGCUCUGAAUGCGAUGUUUGAUGAGAUUUUGGGUAGACGUCUCCACAAUGGUUCAGCACCCAACUCACGAUCCCAAGCCUUCUCCAGCAGGUCACCAGGGCAAUACUGGUAG
rnacentral:rRNA from 1 species